CACCAUGGAGGCUUCGAUGAAGAUGCAAUGCGAAAAUGGAAUGAUUUUCACUUGUCAUUUAUUCAGUAAUGUAACUGCAGUUUAUGAAUUUAACCUAUACUAUAUCGGACUGUCGUAUAGAAUAUAAAUAUAUUUUUGAGAGAGAAUCUGAUCACGGGUAUGCCUGGCGCAGCCAACGGACCGUUAUGAUUAGAAUAUUGGGCAUGGGUUGGAUUGCUGUGUUCUAUCCCAUUUACCUUGUUCCUUAUCAUUCUAUCAUGCUGGACCUGACUAGGCAUGUUCAAAAUUGUGAAUUUGCAGUGCUUGCCACAAGGAAAUGUGACUAUCAGCAUUUUGUUUUUGAGAAAAUGUGAAAGGUAACAGUGGAAUGAUCAUGAGCGACUGUCGACAAACACAUAUGUUUCUUAAGAUAAUAUUAUUUUCGCUAUGCUCUGUUGCGCAGGCGUGCUCGCCGGGACGCUAACAUUCUUGCGUGAUGUAGCCUAUAGGAAUGUGAAGAAAACGGAGCAAUAAAAUGCAUCGACAAAAUGGUCUUGCUUCGCCGAAAGGAUUUAUUAGUGAUCCUUAAAAUACAUUGUGCCAACGAAGAAUGUCAGGGACAUCAAAUGCAGAAUCUUCUGAAGGAGUAGUCUCCAAAGUGAAAGUAAAAAAGCAGAUCAAGACAAUCAUGAAGGAUUUGGAGACCAUCCUGGGAGACUUGAGAGAUGUGGCCAAAGAGCUCAAAGAGGUUGUGCAUGAGAUCGACUCCCUCACGUGUGACCUACAGCUGGAGGAGGCGAUGACGGACAUUUCCAAGACAGACACCCUGAACAGCAGCUGUAGCAGCAGCACCACCACAGCCUCCAGCAUUGACAAGAUCAAGAUCUACCCUGACGACGCUAUCUUUAGGCCCCCGUCUGUCAUCCCUGCUGUCCUGACUGUGCUGAAGAAGCCCCACCCUCCUCUGCCGCCUCCCAGGCUGACAUCUAUCAAAGCGGAGGAGAACAACAAGAAUCCUCCAUCAGGGAACCUACUAGCCAAGGCUAACGGGACUCUUAUGCGCAAUGAAGUUUUCACAGGGAAGCCAAACAGAGACUUAUUGUACUGCAUCUCAAAUAGUAUUCCAGAGAAAGGACGUACACCCAUGUCUUUGCUACGGCAUGAAGAGAGCAAAUGCCACCAGGCCACCAGGGAGCGGGUCCGAUUUAGUGAAAAGGUCCAGUAUCACGGGUACUGCCCUGACUGUGACAUGCAAUAUGACGUCAAUAACACAGAUAUACACUUACAGACAGAAUUGACUGAAGAAAUUAGCCCUGUCCAUCAGUGUUCCUCCUCCUCACCACCACCCCAGCUCCUGUUGGAAAAUGGCGGCCUCAGCGUCAGCCAUAGUUUCCCUCCUGCAAACUCGCCUUGUGUGCCUCAUCCUAACCCUUCCUUGAAACCACAGAAAACCAUCCUCCGAAAAUCAACCACCACAACGGUUUGAAAAUCAACCACCACAACGGUUUGAUGUUAAUCGCCCUUAAUUAAACAUUUAAAAAUGAUAGUGUUCUAGUUCUUUUUUACGAGCUUUCUACUCCAGUCAAACGUGGAUUAAUCUAAACAAUGAGAAAAAAAGAGACUAUGCACAAGGAGAGAAUGAAUGGUCCUUCUGGGUAAGAGUGGAAAAAACCUUCACUGACAUUAAGCUGAUCAACUUCAGUUCAGCAUACAGUCACUGAGAACGAUGCUCCCUACCUUUGACAGAACAUCCCCCAGAACCCCCGAGCCAUGGCCAAAUAAUUCAUCCUCACAGAGAGAGAACAUUGUAAGUCCUCAAGGCAUAUUCUUAUCCAUGGAUAAAUAUGGCAGAAGUUCAAAUGUAAUGGAAAAAUAAGAUGAAAACAUUGUGUCCAAGUGGGACUCGUUCAUUUACAACUGAAAUUAAGAUUUUCUGUUUAGUCAUAGGUUAAACUGAUGUCCCCAGCAUUUGGAGAACUCUUCCAGGUGGAAGUCUACUCAGUCUCAAGUCCUGUUGAGAGGGCAAGAGAGAGAGAGCGCGAGCGAGGAAAAAAAAAACAUGGUCAAUAUUUUAAAGCCAUAAUUUGAACAAGAAAAGACCCACUCAGUUACAGUUUUUUGCUCUGUGAAUUGUGCUAUAUUUGCCUUGAAGAUAACCUAUUUGAAAUAAACAUCCAGUGAAAUCUGGUAAUCUGCAGUGACUGCUCUGAAGAUAGAAGCCGCAACAUGGUCCUCUAAUGUCUAUACUGUGGUAGGGUGUGAAAAACAUACAGUAAAUGUGUCCUUUUGCAAAUCCAACAUACAAUAUGAGGCAAGUUGAAUGGCUCAGAAAUUGUAAUGGAGGCUGGUCACUCAUUUGUGAUCAGAAUAUGUUGUGCAUAUUGAAAUCUAUGUUCAAUGUCAUGCAAGUUACUUGCAAAGAUAUGGCAUACAGCUUUAAACAACUCUCAAAGACAGAAUCAUUUGCAUCAAAUUGUAUUUGUAUAUAUUUAGAGUAAUUUUCUACAGAGAUUUUAACAUAAACUCUAAUAUUUUUGAUAUUCCAUGGGAUGAGAGUAGUAUUUUGAAGAAGACUGUCAUACUUUUGAAAUACAUUUAUCUCUGCAGGGCAUAUCUGGAUAUUCUAUUUCUAUAGUGAGAGAGUAUUUGUAUAGAUUUUAAAAAACAUGUUAUCGUUAUGUUUACAGGGGUGUAAAAAAAAUGUGUAGCACAUGAAAGCAAACUAGAUUAAACCAAAUACAGUACAUUGUUGUGCUCAGAGGAAGCAUGAUGCUGAAUGAAUGCACGGCUGAUUCUUCUUCCACCUCAUCCUGUCAUCACUGUGGUCUCCUAUGCAUUUACUGGAGAGGCUGUUGAGACAUGCUGCCCCUUCCACAAACUGGAGUGCACCUCACCUUUGCCCACCCUUAGCUGAUGUGGACUUUGUGACUGUGUGUCCUUGUCUCUCUGGACCACUAAUGACUUUGCUUUGAAGAGGACGGAACGUAACAAAACAAACUUUGUCAAUGACGUGUCGGGAAAACAAUGUAUAUGUCCACAUCUUUAUGAAUAAUUUGCACUUUGCACUUAUGUUAGUCUUUAUACUUUGUGGACUUUAACACGUGAAUUACAGAAUAAUUUCAAGUA